rnacentral:rRNA from 1 species
GGGUUGUGAGGUUAAGCGACUAAGCGUACACGGUGGAUGCCCUGGCAGUCAGAGGCGAUGAAGGACGUGCUAAUCUGCGAUAAGCGCCGGUAAGGUGAUAUGAACCGUUAUAACCGGCGAUUUCCGAAUGGGGAAACCCAGUGUGACUCGUCACACUAUCAUUAACUGAAUCCAUAGGUUAAUGAGGCGAACCGGGGGAACUGAAACAUCUAAGUACCCCGAGGAAAAGAAAUCAACCGAGAUUCCCCCAGUAGCGGCGAGCGAACGGGGAGGAGCCCAGAGCCUGAAUCAGCAUGUGUGUUAGUGGAAGCGUCUGGAAAGGCGCGCGAUACAGGGUGACAGCCCCGUACACAAAAGCGCAUGUGCUGUGAGCUCGAUGAGUAGGGCGGGACACGUGGUAUCCUGUCUGAAUAUGGGGGGACCAUCCUCCAAGGCUAAAUACUCCUGACUGACCGAUAGUGAACCAGUACCGUGAGGGAAAGGCGAAAAGAACCCCGGCGAGG